rnacentral:ncRNA from 1 species
UCCCUGCUUUUCCUCCCUGAGCAGGUGCCUUACCGUGAUGACAGCGUUAAGGCUUGAAAGCCCCGGCUCGCGCCGGGGCUCUUUUUU